rnacentral:rRNA from 1 species
GUGGGGAAUAUUGGACAAUGGGCGCAAGCCUGAUCCAGCCAUGCCGCGUGUGUGAAGAAGGCCUUUUGGUUGUAAAGCACUUUAAGCGAGGAGGAGGCUCCUUUAGUUAAUACCUAAAGAGAGUGGACGUUACUCGCAGAAUAAGCACCGGCUAACUCUGUGCCAGCAGCCGCGGUAAUACAGAGGGUGCGAGCGUUAAUCGGAUUUACUGGGCGUAAAGCGUGCGUAGGCGGCUUUUUAAGUCGGAUGUGAAAUCCCUGAGCUUAACUUAGGAAUUGCAUUCGAUACUAGAAAGCUAGAGUAUGGGAGAGGAUGGUAGAAUUCCAGGUGUAGCGGUGAAAUGCGUAGAGAUCUGGAGGAAUACCGAUGGCGAAGGCAGCCAUCUGGCCUAAUACUGACGCUGAGGUACGAAAGCAUGGGGAGCAAACAGGAUUAGAUACCCCGGUAGUCC